CCUCAUGCCCACGUUCCGCAAACCCCUCCCAUGCUGAUGCAAAAACGUUUGGCGGCGACCCAUGGAACCACGAGGUGACGAGGAGAUGCGGGAGCUCGACUUCUCCAAUCCCCAGGGGCGGGUCUCCGAGGAUGUGGUGGCAAUGGCGGCGACACGACAACAAGGUGCACGACCUCCGAAUCCUCGCAUGCCCCGUCCUCAUCGCCGGUGGAGCCACCUCCGCUAACCGCAGCUCGCUAACCAGUCCCUCGCCGGGGAAGAAGCUACGCGGGACUUUUCCACUGCCGCCUGACCUACUUCGAGAUUAGAAGCGGCGGCAGCGGCUGCCCGCCAUAUUGCGAUCCCAACUCAUGCUCGUUGUGUCGCCAAGCAUCAGGUAUUCAUAAGAAAGGGACCACCUAUCUAACAACAGUCGGUGAUGAUCGGUGAUGGUGGCUUGGCAAGGUUAGGUAUUUAUUUUAUUCUUUUUAUGGUUUGCUCUCUAUAUGAAUUAGUAUUUUUUUUCUGUGUUCGCGGCAAUGCUCAUCCUCUAAUAUGGUGGCUCAUUCAAUUUUUAUAAUACAGACGUUUUUUUAUUCAGUAAACAUAUGGACUUAAAUAAAAGUUCAAAUAAAACUUACACUCUGCAGGUGAAAGUAGCGAUAUUUGUACAUUUCUGGAACUGAAAGGAUACAUACCACCUGUUGUUUUCCUGUAGGUAUGUAGAAUGGACACCUUGCAAAUUCAGUAGAAUGCUUAGAUAACAUGUUGAUUAUUUGUGCCUACAUGCUUACCUGGUUGUUUCUUCCAGUAGCAUCAAGGAAUUUGUUGGCGUUCCAGUAAUUUAAGCUUUCAUUUUUACUUUUAUUCUGCUGAUAACUAUGACAUAGGCUUUUAUCAAUUUUGGAUGCCGAUUGUUGAUCCCCAAUAUAUUUUACUCUUUUUUCUUCAGAUUCUUUUUCGGGACAAUAAUAAAAUCACAAACCACCAGUAGAAUGAUCUUAUUAGGUUUUCUUAGGAAGCCAUAAGUGGUCUGUUGUCUCCAAGGAUAGUGAACAAGAGACACUAUCUGCAGUUCUUGUCAAUACGCUUGACUCCGGUAUUCGAUUGUCUUGCUAACUAUAUUCUUUAUAAUUUAACAUAACCAUGCUUUGAUUACUGAAUAUGUUCCACACAUUCAAUCGAGAAUUACCGAAUGCUCCGCACAUAGGAAAUGCUCUAAUGAUGGCAUACCUGUAGCUGACAAUGGACCAAUUAGUGCCAUGCUUCAUCAUGCUUGAUGUGGCAGCACCAGAGCACUGCGUCUUUUCUGAAAGGUCAUCAGUAAGCAUUGAUCGGAAGGUUCCACAUGCACAUUGAAUUGAUAUAAGAAAUUAAUAACAGGACAAGACACAGAAGGAAAUUGAAAAGUACGAGGUAAAUGUACUAUUUUUUUUUGAGCUUUAGUUGCCUAGCAUUUCUCCUUUCUUAGUUGUAAUGAAAUGUGCGAAAAUUAGUCAGGUCAACCAUAUUUGAGUUGUGUAUUAUAACAGCUAUCAAAGGUUGUUUGCACCAGGCCUACAGUAUGCUCGCCAAAUUCAUUAUAUUUUUUGAAAAAUAAAAAAAUUGAUUAUUAUUUGAAAUUGUGAGAGAAUACUGAUUCCUCCAUGCUAUGCAAUUCUAGGAUCCUGAGCAUUUCUUACCUUGGUUACAAAUGAAUACAUUGUAAUGAUCUGGUUACCUUUCUUGUGAGAUUUAUCCAAUAACUUGGAUUAACUUUAAUGGAAGUUUACAAGAAUCAGGGAAGCAUCAUUGCCUCUGGAAUUUGGCAUAUAACCAUGAGGUAAUUACUAGAUAAUGAGAAUAUUUUUUGUUGAUGGGAGCACCAGGUAAUGGUAAUGGUGAUGGGAUUAUCUGUUUGGCCUUGCUGUUACGUGCAUGCAGCUCGUUUUAACUUCUGAUGUUGUUCCUUGAUUUUCAGAAAGAAGGUUAGUAAAAGGGAGGAAAAUCAGAGGCAGUCCUCCACAGCAAUAGAAAUUAGUCUUUAAGUUUUUUUUUCCAGAAGGAAGCCUGCUUGAAACUUCUUUAAGCUGAAAAUGUUUAAGCUUGAGAAAAUGUUAUUGGAAUUAAUGUAAUCUGAAAGGGUUUCUAUGUUGAUAUUACCUGCUCAUUGUUUUCUAUGCAUUUUGAGUUGACGUGUUGGAAAAUAAAAAUACAGUAGUGCUUCACAAGGUUUAAGUUGAUAUUACCUGCUCAGUGUUUUCUAUGCAUUUUGAGUUGACAUGUUAGAAAAUAAAAAUACAGUAGUGCUUCACAAGGUUUUAAGUUGAUAUUACCUGCUCAAUGUUUUCUAUGCAUUUUGAGUUGACAUGUUAGAAAAUAAAAAUACAGUAGUACUUCACAAGGUUUAUAUAGCUGUCUAGAAAUUUGGUGCAUGGAUUUUUUUUUCUUAUGAAAACUCAAGAAUUCUGAAUUCUUGUUCUGCUGCUCAUAGUCAACUCCACCUAGCUCACGAUGCUUGGUCCUGGACUGAUGGAGUAUAGAGCUUGUGCAUGCAGGGCAGGCCUGCGCUGUGGUGAACAACUGCAACCACCACGAAGUCUCUGUCCCCAACACUUUUGGUGUUACCUUUAGUUUUCGCUUCCUGAUAAAAGUAUCUUGCAUUUCAUUUCUGCUGCUGAAUAUGAGGAGAGCACCGAAGGGUGCGAGGACUGCAGGAUCUUGGAUGGACGUGCAUAAACAAUAGUAAAUGUUUAAGGGAAACAUAUAUAUAAUAUCUUUGUGCCUGAUCCGGAGGUCACUUUUAUAUGUGUUUAUUGGGUCA